UCUUCUUUUUUAUUUGUUGGAUUUAUAGUUGCUGAAUUCAAGCUGCUCUGAUUGUGGUGUGAAAUUGACCCAAUUUUUUUUUAAGAUUAGACACUGAAUGAAUUUAUUAGCCGAGUUCCUGUGUGGAUGGAUUCACUCCCUUUUUACAGUUUUACUCUGUUUUGCUUAUUUUCUUUGGGUUUAAAGUAGCUUAAUUUAGGUGUAGUUUUGCAAAAUUUAUGAAUCUUUUUUCUUUUGGAUUUAUAAUUGCUGAGUUAAAGCAGUGUGAAAUUGACCAAAAUUACUCUGAAGUGCUAUUGUGAUGCUUAAUCCACCGUGUUGCUCUGUGAAUUCACUUUGAUUUUAAAGUUAUUAUUCUGUUUUGCGUUGCUUGGUGGAGUUUUAAAAAAAAAAAGAUCUUUUGGAUGCAUACGUGCUGAAUUUAACAAUCAGAUGCUAUUGCGGUGUAAAGUUGACAGUAAAUUUCUCUUUUUUAAUGGGAAAGAUUAUCAAAAUUUUCAAGCUUUGUUAGAUCGAAUUCUAGUAAGUUUCCGCCUUAAAAAAUGUAGGGCUAAAUUUUUUCUGGGAAUUGGCAUUACAUGUCUUCUGAUGGAUUCUGACUGCUGUCCAUCGGCAACGUAGUAUUUCCAGCCGCAUGAAUUAUGUCACAACUUAGGCCGUCGGAAAUUCAAAAAAUUUGAGUAGUCUAUAUUUUGGCAGCAAUUCACCAUUUGAACUUAUAAAAUAUUCAAAUGAGUAUAUGCUUAUUUAUAUACGUGAAAGUUACAAGGAAAAUAUUUUAUGCAAUGCGGAUGAGGACUUAGCCGAGCAUCUCAAGAUGACACUGAAGAAAGAGCAAGAAGAAAAGGAACAAAAGAGAAAGGAGAAAGUAGAAGAUCGUCUCUACACAAUCAUCAAGGUAGCUCGUGAUGAAGACCUCGCUGAACAAAUUGGAAAGGAGAUGUAUUUUGAUCUUGUGGAUCAUGAUAAAGUGCAUGCUUUUCAUAUUCAGAAACAGAUGCCAUUUACUCAAUUCAAGGAUGUAGUAGCUAAGGUAUUUCGUAUCCCGGUACAAUUUCAACGUUACUGGCUAUGGGCGAAACGUCAGAACCAUACUUAUCGGCCUGAUCGUGCAUUGACAGUUCAAGAGGAAGUUCAAUCCGUUGGUCAACUGAGAGAAGGAAAUACUGCUGAGCUAAAACUGUUUCUGGAAGUAGAAUUAUGCCUGGAUUUGCGACCUUUUCCUCCACCUGAGAAGACCAAGGAAGAUAUCCUUCUAUUUUUCAAAUUUUAUGACCCUCUCAAAGAGAAGAUAAGGUAUGUCGGACGGCUUCUUGUAAAAGAAAGUGGCAAGCCGCUGGAAAUAUUAACAAAGAUUAAUGAAUUGGUAGGCUUUUCGCCUGAUGAAAAAAUUGAACUUUUUGAGGAAAUAAAAUUUGAACCCAACGUUAUCUGUGAACACAUUGAUAGUAAGCGGAGUUUUCGUGACUGUGAGAUAGGAGAUGGGGAUAUAAUUUGCUUUCAGAAAUCCCUUCAAAAUCAAUGCAGUGAACAAUACCGCUUUCCUGAGGUUCCUUCAUUUUUUGAGUACAUGCACAAUUUCCAGAUAAAACUAAAUAAAGAGCAAGAAGAACCGGAACAGAAGAAAAAGGAAAAAGCUCAUCUCUACAAAAUCAUCAAGGUAGCUCGUGAUGAAGACCUCGGUGAACAGAUCGGAAAGGAGAUUUAUUUUGAUCUUGUGGAUCAUGAUAAAGUGCACAGUUUUCGUAUUCGGAAACAAAUGCCUUUUACUCUAUUCAAGGAGGAAGUUGCUAAGGAAUUUGGUAUACCGGUGCAAUUUCAACGUUACUGGCUAUGGACAAAACGCCAAAACCAUUCAUAUCGUCCUAAUCGUCCAUUGACAGCUCAAGAAGAAAUUCAAUCCGUUGAUCAACUGAGAGAGGUUUCAGAUAAACAGGAUUGUGCUGAGCUAAAACUGUUUCUGGAAGUUGAUUUAUGCCUGGAUUUACGACCUUUUGCUCCACCAGGGACGACCAAAGAAGAAAUCCUUCUAUUUUUUAAACUUUAUGACCCUCUGAAAGAAAAGAUAAGGUAUGUUGGACGGCUUUUUGUAAAAGAAAGUGGCACGCCAUUGGAGAUAUUAACGAAGUUAAAUGAGUUGGCUGGCUUUUCGCCUGAUGAAGAAAUUGAACUUUUUGAGGAAAUAAAAUUUGAACCCAAUGUGAUGUGCGAACACAUUGACAGUAAUCUGAGUUUUCGCGAUAGUCAGCUUGGAGAUGGGGAUAUUAUUUGCUUUCAGAAAUCCCUUCGAAAUCAAGACAGUGACCAAUAUCGCUUUCCUGAGGUUCCUUUGUUUUUGGAGUACGUGUACGAUCUCCAGUCGCAAGCUGGAUCCGCCCCUGUUGAAAGUUGAUUAAAAAAAAAAAUACGUGGAGAAGAGAAUAUCUGAGUCUAUUUAAGGAAAUUCAAGGUCAGAUCAUUUGAGUUAUAAUUGUCCCAGCAAUAAACACUCGUUGCUUGUUCGUCCACAAUACAACCAUCCAACAACAUGAGGUUAUUAAAGACAGAUUCCCUCGAAUCCAAUCCUUAGAGACGUACUUUCAGGGAAGGAAAUGAAGUUGCUGACUCUCUUGAAGGAAUGAACCGAGCCAAAUUUCAACAUGUUUGUUUAUAUGCUAUUUCCACCAUUAUGAUCUACUUCUCAUAUGAGGAUAGAGAAGGAUGGAACAAACUUUCCUAAAUUUUUAUCAGCGACGGCUUGUAACUAUUUGGCCUGUCUUGGUAAUUUAAGUGCUAGUAAUAGCACUAUGACUAUAACGACAAUUACUAAUAUUAUUUAUGUGAUUUUUAAAAUCAAAUAUAAAGCUUGUGUCAAAGCUUUUGGGUUUUCCUAA